rnacentral:rRNA from 1 species
AUUGAACGCUAGCGGGAUGCCUUACACAUGCAAGUCGAACGGAGUGGCGAACGGGUGAGUAAUGUCUCGGAGCGGGCCCAGUAGCGGGGGAUAACUACGCGAAAGCGUAGCUAAUACCGCAUACUAUUGAAGCGGCCGAUAUCGGCUGAGCUAGUUGGUGGGGUAACGGCUCACCAAGGGGCCGAUCCGUAGCGGGGUUGAGGGGACGACCAGCCACACGGGGACUGAGACACGGCCCAGACUCCUACGGGAGGAAGCAGUGGGGAAGUUUGGACAAUGGGGGAAACCCUGAUCCAGCCAUCCCGCGUGUGCGAUGAAGGCCUUCGGGUUGUAAAGCACUUUUGGCAGGAAAGCGGUACCUGCAGAAUAAGCACCGGCUAACUACGUGCCAGCCGCCGCGGUAAUAC